AAUAUCACCACUGAUUGUUUAUGUUUAUUUCAGAAGACAACAGACUCAUGAUACAUGCCCUGCACUAGAUCUAUUGUCAUUUGAUUCUACCUCACAGGAUCUUGUCUCCCCAUUGGUCUUCGUAAAGGUACUCAGAUACUUUAAAGGCUUGUGCUUUGGAUGUUGAUAUUUCCUUAAUGGCCGGAGGUGACAUGGCCCAUGUUGGAGAAAAAGGAGUCAAUUUGUCAGGCGGACAGAGAGCUCGACUUGCUUUGGCAAGGGCGAUUUAUCAUGACUCCCAUAUAUAUAUGCUUGAUGAUGUACUUAGCGCAGUUGAUGCACAAGUUGGCAGGUGGGUUUUGCAUAAUGCUAUCCAAGGCCCUCUUAUGGAGAAAAAGACUCGUAUUCUUUGCACUCAUAAUGUUCAGGUU